rnacentral:rRNA from 1 species
AUACGGAGGGUGCAAGCGUUAUUCGGAAUUACUGGGCGUAAAGCGCGCGUAGGCGGAUUGAUCAGUCAGGGGUGAAAUCCCGAGGCUUAACCUCGGAACUGCCUUUGAUACUGUCAAUCUUGAGUUCGAGAGAGGUGAGUGGAAUUCCUAGUGUAGAGGUGAAAUUCGUAGAUAUUAGGAAGAACACCAGUGGCGAAGGCGGCUCACUGGCUCGAUACUGACGCUGAGGUGCGAAAGCGUGGGGAGCAAACAGGAUUAGAAACCCUAGUAGUCC